rnacentral:rRNA from 1 species
UAAGACGAAGGUGGCAAGCGUUGCUCGGAAUUACUGGGCAUAAAGAGCGCGUAGGUGGCGUGGUAAGCGGGGAAUGAAAUCCCAUGGCUCACCCAUGGAACUGUUUUCCGAACUGCCACGCUUGAGGUCGAGAGGGGAGAGUGGAAUUCCUGGUGUAGCGGUGAAAUGCGUAGAUAUCAGGAGGAACGCCGGUGGCGAAAGCGACUCUCUGGCUCGAUCCUGACACUGAGGCGCGAAAGCUAGGGGAGCAAACAGGAUUAGAUACCCUGGUAGUCCUAGCCGUAAACGAUGGGCACUGGGUAGAGGGGGUGUCGAUACCUUCUUUGCCGUAGCUAAUGUGUUAAGUGCCCCGCCUGGGGAGUACGGUCGCAAGGCUA